GCAUUGCACACAUACCACAAAAAAAGAAUUUAAAAAAGGGGAUUAAGGGUAAUGUUUUCUAUGUGUGUGUACGUAUAUAUAUACAUAUAUAUAGACACAGAGAGACAUAGUUUUUAUACGGAAACGACUUAUGGGAGAAUGGAGAGAGACGUUUACAUAGAGUGAGCUUAUCCUCUGCGACCCUUUUCUUUUUUUACACUGACUUCCAAGUUCCAAGAACCAUUCUCCGUCAGGAGAAAGCCGUUAUUUUUCAUCUGGAUCUUUCCUCUCCCUAAAGCCGUUAUUUUUCAUCUGGAGAUUUCCUCUCCCUCUCUAUUUAUAUAUAUAUAUAUAUAUAUGCAGUGAGUUCUUACCUGAGAAAUAGCAAUCUGGCUUCUUCGUUUGGAGGGUGCACAAAUGGAUGAUGAUUUCUUGCCUGGCGGUUACUUUGACUAUGAAAUCCCUGCUUCUUCAUCUUCUUCCUUGAAUCAUCCCUCAAAAUCCGCCAUGGUGGAAGAAGAACGAGAAGAAGAUAUCAUGAAGAUGCUUUGCCACAACGGCCAGGCAGUUACGACAUCCUAUCCUCCGCCUCAUCAGAAUCUCUUCAUCCAUGAAGACGAGAUGGCCUCUUGGCUACAUUAUCCUCUCCACCAGCACGAUUUCUCCCCCGAUCUCCUCGCCUCUGCCUCCGCCUCCACCGUUCUCAACGAGCCGCCGCCACUGAGACCGACCAAUCAGGUUUUCGCUCCGAGGCCACCGGUUCCAGCGGAGAACAGGACGGUGAACCAGCCGAGGACUGUACGAAACUUCGAGAACUUCUACAAAUUGAACAGUACCACCGGCCGCGGCGUUGAACUCGGACAACCAUCGUCGGCGUCCGCGGUGGUGAGAGAAUUUCCUACGUCAGCCCCAUCCGAGGUGUCGCAGCGGGCGGAGGGUGCAGACACUGGAUGGACGAUCAAUAGCGGAGCCAGCUUCGUCGCAUCAGGCGGCGGCGCUGUGAUCUCCGAGACAUCGUCUUCGAAGGGCAAGGCGGAGCAGACUUUCUCACCGACGGAGUUCGCCGGAGACCGGAAGCGGAAGGGAAAAGAAAUCACUGACGAAACCGAGUGCCGGAGCAAGGGAGCCAAACAAGAAUCCAAGAGAAGGUAUCGAUCCGCACAAGUUCAUAAUCUUGCUGAAAGGAGACGGAGGGGUAACAUCAACGACAAGCUGAGGGCUCUGAAGGAAGUUAUGCCGCACUGCAACAAGUCGGACAAAGCAUCCGUGCUGGAUGAAGCUGCCGAAUACACGAGAUGUCUUCAGCUGCAAGUGCAGAUGAUGUCAAUGGGGUAUCAUGGUAUGCACCAGUACAUGCAGCUCAUGCCAAUGGGCAUGAAUCUGCCCAUGCCAGCCAUGGUUCAUAACCAUAUGCGCCGCCAACCAUUUCCAACCCCACCCUACCCUGUCUCGUCCAGAGUCCAUAUACCGAGUCAGCACGCAGACCCGGCGAUGCAAUCACUCCAGCCGUCGUGGCAGCAGCCCUUCCCGGGUUUCUUUGAACCAUAUCAGCAGUUUCCUGGUCUCGAUCCUAUGCAAGCGUCCAUGUUGCCGAAUCAAGAAACGGAGCAGGCGAGUUCCAGCGAGUCAAGCAGUAGUAGCAAGUAACGCGGGGAGGAUGAAGAGAGCCCGUCAUCAGGUAGUAACACUUGCCCUUUCUUCAGAUGCACAAUGAAACCUGACGCGGUUCUUGCAGAUGAAGAACAUAGUUUGGGUUGACGUUUGGAACAGAGAGUCAACGCGAGAUGAGAGAGACAGAGAAGGGGGGGGGGGGGGGG